rnacentral:misc_RNA from 1 species
UUUCCGUAGGUGAACCUGCGGAAGGAUCAUUAUCGAAUAAGCGAGUCGCGAGGGCUGCCUCUCAACCGAAAGGUUGCGUAACCCCCAUUGCCCUCACACACACCCCUUCCACGCCUAUGUGCACGACCGCGAGGGUUCCUCUUUGCCUCGCUCGGCGGUGGGCUAACCUUUACACUCAUUAUUUGUAUGUACCGUAGUCUGUAUUUUUUGAUUUUGUGAUAGCGCAACUAAUAACACUUUAAACAACGGAUCUGUUGUCUCUGGCAUCGACGAAAAAUC